CAACUUUUAUGGCUACUAUUCAAAAACUGAAAGUUUAGAAACAAUCAAGGAAGAAAGAAACCACUAACCUGAUGGCUGUACGCCCUUUUGAGCAGAAACCAAGUGGAGGCAGCAGCCAGAGAAGAAAGCAUCCACUGAAGGAAGCUGCCAGCUCCAGCCCAGUUCCCGGGAGUGCAGGCCCAAUAACAGGGUGCUAGGAGCAGGAAGUCUGGUGCUCAUGGGAGGAGAAUUGCUACAGCCAAUCAUAAGGUGUGGGUGCGAGGCAUCCUGAAACAGUUAACCCACAGCCUAGCCACUAGAUGACUACAGUCACGUUACGGAACCCAACGAAGUUGGCCAUGCAUGGCCCACAUCUGCAGAACCUCCCAUCAGACUAGGUGGCCUGGGGGAUUGGCUACAAGCUCACUGAUGGUCUUGUUUCAAGAAGAUACGAACAUCUGGAGCAAUCACAACAUCUGGAGAAAACGGAGCUGUAGAUUUUAAUGGAAGAUGUACCUGGUUUUUUUUUUUUUUUUUUUUUAAGUCAUUCAACCCAUUGCUAAAAUAGAAGGACAUCCAGUCUCCCAGAUGAAACACAGGCUCAAUUAGAAAUUGUGCUGAAAUUCGAAAUUACAACCAUUUCUCCCCCUAAACGACAGGAUUACAUGGCAUCGCUGAGGAACUGACAGGUAAUUUGAGAAACUAAGGUUCCUCAGACUCUGUAGUUAAUGGAGAAUUUAGCACCAAUUCCUGUGUAAUUUGCACUUCUGAGAAGCAGAAUUAUUAUAAAGUCAGACAUCUCCAGCACUUUCAACUCUUGGAUCUGCCAGGCUUUAAGAUGACCAGGAAUGUAGAAGGACUAGGGUCAGAGGUCACCAUUUCAAUAUCUGAGGCUGCCUGGCUCCCCCAAACUGGCAUUUGAACUGAAGAGUUGGAAAUUGGAGGUGACAUUCAGAAGUCUCUGAAAAUUAUAACCCCGACUUCCUCCUGGAGACGCUUAUCUGAAUCCUAGCUUACCCUUUGAUGGGGUUACUGAAAAGGCACUCUGCUCCGAGCUCUUGAAAGAUAACAGACAGCGCCAGUGAGGCCCCGGUGUAUCCCUUGGGGAAAAACAGUAGCAGUUGUAACAAGCGGGGACACUAAUUAAAGGUCUCGACAACUUUGUGAGGAUGAGGGA